AGUACUUGAGCCUGCAUUUACAAAAAUAUAGCGCCCCCAAAAGUAGGAACGUCAAUACAUAUAAAACAUCUACUAGUAUAUAGACUAGACCAAAUAAAAAAUAAACACAAGAAUUCUCAAAUGAAUUACAUGUCAAAAUGCACGAAUUUUCGAGCUAUAAGCUCAACAAUUAUGAUAAGUCAAUGGUGUAUUUCCACACCCUUUAUAUUUCCCCGCUUCCCAACUGAGAUAUGAUCCUUCUAUGAGUUUAAGAUUACUCCCUCCAUCCUUAUUUCACAAUAUACAUAUAUAUAUAUAUAUAUAUAUAUAUACACACACACACACUUACACCUUCCAAAUAAAGGUAUAAAAUUGAACUCAUAUGCUUUGUAGAUGAAGAGGGAGUUGAAAAAAUAUCUUUAGCAGACAAAUCUUUCUGAUUUCCCUAUCGAAACGUUGUUGCAAAAUCUUAGCUUGAAACUAACAUUAAGUAAUUAGAAGCUCAAUUUAGCAACUACGGUGAUGGGCAACCCAAAAUAGAUUCUGAGCCUUGAGAAUAUUUACCUUGGACUUUGGUCAGCUAGACCCCACUAGACCCAAUGUAUAUGAUCUCUCGUGCCAGCUAGUCAAGAACUUGUGGGCAUCCUCCCCUAGGACCCCUACAACCCCCAAAAAUUGCAGAGGAGCGAAUCUCAAGAACCUACCCAACAUCUUCUGCUCCUCUAUUUUCAUGGAAGCUAAACUUGCCGCAGGCUGAGCUAUCGCAGAGGCUGGUUGUACCUCAAUAUGAGGAGCCCCAGUGACAGGCUACACUCCUAGGUCUAGAAUGGAUGGCACUAGGAUCUUCUACAUGCCUCUAAGUGCUUCUAGGAGCUGUGAAAUGACUGGCAAUCUGAAGCCCCACGCAUAUGCAGGCUUGAGUGACUGUUGCACUGGUCCCGACCCCACCAACUGAGGAAUAGGCAACGAUUGUGGCUCAAUGAUGGGAUAGGUGUAACAUCUCUUCCCUAACCUUGAGAUGGUGCUACAGCUCGUCUCUGACCUCAAGGUCAACCUCUAUCUUAUUCCCCUAGUUGGGGCCCUACAUGUAGGCUCAGGAGCAUCGCCCCUAGCUAUUGCACCCCUCAUACGAACCAUCUAUAAAAAAUUAGAACAAAUGAUAUUUUUAGAAACUAAACAUGACUAAGACGCAUGAAAAGGAAUCAAAGGUGAGAAUUACCUAAUAUGUCAUGUAGCCUCCCGAAAAAUGAACACAAACAUCGACUGAUUCAUAGGAUUCUAAUAGACUCCAGCUUUGUACGGAUGACAUCAGUGAACCUGGAGUUGUGAUACCAACUUUGUCACGACCCUAAACCACGGGUCGUGAUGACACCUAUUGCAAUCCACCAGUAUGUAAGCCAACCAUAGGAUCAUACUCCCAUUUCCAGGUUAAGGGUAGGCUUACCUACUGGUGCGUUGUAAUAGGUGUCAUCAUGACCCGUGGUUUUGGAUUGUGAAAAUUUGUAAUCAACUCAAAGAAAAUUCAAUUCAAAGCUUCUUCAAAAAACAAGUUAUCAUUUCCAAAUUCUUCAUUCUUUUUUACUAGCUUCUCUUUUUAGUUGAAUCUUUUGAUCCUUGUUAACAAUUUUGGGCUCGCAUGAGGACUCCACAAUUAUACUUUUCUUCUAGUAUUUCCAUACAUGGUGUUAGAUCCAUAGCCAUACAUUGGAGGCUUCUUAAUUGUAUUUCAAGAUUGGGUUAGCUGUAAUUGGUUUCUCUGUAUAGAUUUCAACGGUCAUAUAGACUGGGAAUGAAGUUGUUGAACCAAUUCAAUUACAAGUUAUGGAAGACAUGUAUGGAAUCAUAACCUGUUGUUGAAGAUUUGUGGGAUGUUGUUAAUGGAAGUAACACAAGUCCUCAUGUCGAUGGAUCGGGAAAUAAUAGCGCAUGUGUUGCUCCCAAUUGCACACGCAAGUGUACGUGGUCGCACAAGUAAUAUAGUGGCUCUUAAAAAGAACCAGAUUAAUCGAACCCAAAGGACUUGUCAAUUAACUAUUUUUACUAAAUUAUACUGAUCUAAUUAUUUAUUUAAUAGUGCCAAAAGAAAAGAAUGCAAGAACAAAAUAAGAAAAUUACUUACAAUAGUUGGAAAAAUCCCAGGGCUGCAGCAAGUAUUGAAUCUCAUGUAUCAUAUUAUAGGCUUAGAACUAAUUUUAGUUGUCAAGUUACUGAUUUUAUAGGGUUAAUUGUAUGAGUCGGGCUACACACCUCUAGUCGCCUACUCCAGUCAGCUAUCUAACUACAUCGUUGAGCGGGGAUAAAUAGACUAACUAGCGAGCAUUUAUAUUUCAUCCUAUUCCGUAACCAAGCAAGUUGUUCGUCUGCGCGUCACUCCUGAACACAAAUCACCUCAAUCUAAUGGGUCGAUCGAGCUCUCUAUAUUCUCUGGUCUAUCCAACCUCUCCUCUCUCGAUUUUAAGGUUAAAUAAUAUUUAUCUCUAGAUGGCCAGUCAAGAAAUACUAAAACAAGAAUAUAGAAGUUAACUUAUAAUGACAACCAAUAAUUAAUUCAUAAACCUUAAAUAUUCAACAUUUAAUUCGUAGCUACAGCCCCAGAACAAGAGCUUUAGCUACUAAUGUCUAAGAAAACAAGAAGAAGAAAAGAACCCUAAAAAGUAUUGACGACUUUCUCUUCAAAAGUGCCUCCUCCUUGAUCUCCCUCUAUCGUUCAUUCCUCUCUAUAAUUAUUUUUAUGGACUAUUUAUAGAGAUAAGAAACCCUAAAAUAAAAUAAUUGAGUCCAAAAUAAAUUAGGAAUCCAAAUCCAAGCGGAAUAAGAAUUCAUGUACGCUUAAUCCGUGCUCUGCCGAGUUUACUGCCCAUCUUCGUUCUUCAUAUGAUGUCACGUGGAAUUUUCAAUUCCAAUUCCAAUUCUACUUCCACCAAAAUAUAUAUUAUUUUAUAAAGUUUAAUUCAUUAAGCUGUCUGCUUGAUUUCCUUCUUCAACCUUCCAUCUUUAAUUCGUUUUAGCUUCAAACUUCUUGAACUUUCCACCAAUUUAAUCCAACAAAUAAAAUACACUAUUACGCACAAUUCAUAAAAUUAAUGCUCAAGAGGGACAAAUAUAAAUAAUAAAUGUGAGGCGAAUAAUGAUUAAAAUAUAUAUUUUUGGCCUCACAUCUAGCGCAUGUAAGAAGUGGAAGCAGAUUAAUACAUAAAGACGGAGUUCAUCCCAAAGAGUUCAACCUCCUACACUUUAUUUAAUCAUAUAAUAAAGUGUAAAUGACUUAAUGAUAUAUAGAGGUCCCUCAAUCAGUUGUUCAAUAAGAAGACUGAAGAUCGACUUUAUACUAGAGACUUUAACUCAACUAACUCCUCUAUGAAGCGUCUAAUGUACUGAAGAUAGGUGUGUUAAGAUAUUAUCCCCAACUACGUGAACACUCUACUAUUUAUAUAUAAUAACUACUAAACCCUAGAUUGACUAGAGACAUCUGAAAGAAAGGAGGUAUCAUCGAAGCUUUAUAAAAGACCCCAGUGAUGCGUCUGUUGUCGAUAAUAAAUACCUGAAUCUACAUCAUAAAACAAUGUAGAACCGAAUAGUGUAAUAUAUUGAAUGUAUUAUAUGUAAAAUAGUUAAAUGAAACAAUUGAUUACAACUAAAAAUACAGAGAUGAAGAGUAGAUCAGAUGAUGGACCGUAAUAAAGACAACAAAAUAGUAAAGUAUGUAUGUAUACUUUAACAAUAAACUUUACAACUGAAAAUAUAUAUGACAAAUACUGAAUAUAAUGCAACUUCACUUUUCAUGGGAAAUUAUGUUAACCGACAGGUAUAACAUGAGCCUUAUUCUUGACCACAUUGUCAGAGUCAUUCUUUAUCUUUUCCGGGUAAAGAAAGAACUUGACUAAUGUAUCUAAUCUCUAAGCCUUUACUAGGGUCUUAGUGGUGAGUUAUAUGAAUGAACGGUACGAUUCUAUCCUACGCUCGUAGCGUAAUUCUAGAGUUUGAAUUAUCUGAACCCAUAUCCAACUUGAUUCUUCAUACUAAUCCUAAAAUAUGCAUUGGUGUUAAAUAACUUUAAAGUUGUCCCACUUUAAGAAAAAUGUCUCACUUUAGAAAAAAAAACUGAAAAUCUCUUUCUUGAGACCUUUCUUAACAUGGUUCUUUAGAACUGACUAAACACGCUUUAAAAUUGAUUAUGCUUUAUUUUGCAAUUGACUUUUCUUUCUUUCUAAACAUAAUGCACUUAAAGAAAAUUGCACUUUCUUGAAACUCUUUUUGAAAAUAAUGCUUUAAGACUUGUAACAUACUUUACUCAUUAAAUUUAAUGCAUAAGAAGUAAUAUGACAAGGUUUUCACAUAACUUUAACUAAGAAGAGACCAUGUGGUUGUAUAAGAAUGAAUCCUAAAUCAAUCAAAGAUCACUAAUAAUAUGAAGUACAACAAUUUCAACAUUAGAAUCAACAAUGAACAAUUUGUGAAAGAGAAAUUCAAAAUAAUGGACAUUGGAGUAAGAACCUUAUCUUUAAAUCUUGUUAAUCAAACUAUAGAUGUGGCGUUUGAGGAUGAACUAAGUUUCUCACUAUGAUAGCCUUACAUACCAUGAAGAAUUAGCGUUUCGAAGAGGAGCUAGGUUUGGGUAGUUGAUAGCAUAGAAUAUGAGAGAAAAUGAGUAUCUAAUAUGAUAUAAUCCCCUAAUCAAAGUUAAAUGUUGAUGUUUAGGAUUUCCACCCCUUUGAUUUCAUGAAAAAUAGUGAGUCUACGAGGCUAUUCCAUAGCUCAUGGAAUGAUCCACAACUCGUGGAAUGCCAUCGUGAAACUCAGAUAUUUUGUCUUCUUUCAAGUUUGAAUCUUCGAGUCCAUUCCAAGUCUCAUAGAAUGCUUCUAUGGAACUUAGGAGUUUUCCAUAUCCUAUGAUACAAUUCCUAGGGCCCUAAGUAAGGUUCAUACUAUCAACUACGACCCAAAUUUUCAAGUCUUGGAACUUGGGACAAUAUUGUACUCUCUGAAUCUUUUCUACGAGUACAUUCCAAGGCUUGCGGAAUGAUCCACGAAUCAUGGAAAGCCUCCUUGGAAGUAUGGUCAGGGAUGAUUUUUAAAUGCUAAGUGUUGAGUAUUCUUUUGUUCAAAAUCUUGGGUGUUACAUUUCAUUCUUUAAGCCGUAACUUUGAUAACUAGUAACCUUUUUUUCUAUUAUGGUAUUAUUUUUUGCAUUCAAGUUUUUACUUCAGUGACUUGCAUUUUUGUAAAGUUUGUAUUCUAAGGUUUGAAUAAUCAAAAAAAUUUCUUAUCUCCAGUAUUUUUGUAAAUAAUCUUUACCUAAUAACCAAGUUAUUGAGUGUUGCUCCUUUUUCUGGUUGAUUUGAAUGAGAUAAUAAAGUUUGCUUAUUUGCAUCCUACCAAAAUUGUAGGCAAAUGGAAUGUAACAAAGAUGAAUUUCUUAAGGCCAAAUAAAUUGGUGUGCAGAAAUUAACCUAGAAGGACAUUGCUGAAGGUCAAAAAUUUGCUUUGAAGGCUCAAAAUAGGUUUCCAACCAAUGAUGGUAAUUCUCAGUUCCUAUAGAUUAUCAAUGUUUAUGUUGCUCAUGAGAAGAAGAAGACUAAUGGGGAAGUGGAUUUUACUGGUAUCUUUUCUAUAGAGCCCUCAGCUGAUGAUGAAACACUUUGAAAAUAUUACACAAGGCUUGCUCAAGCUGUUAAACCUGAUAAAAGUCAAUCUGUUGGGAGCAGAUGAGCUCUUAAGAUUAUAUCUGAAGCUCUGAGUUUGUUUCUGAUAGAACCAAAAGAAUGAUGUAGGAAAAUAAACAUGGAUCUUUUGUUUCCAAAGUGAGGAUUCUUAAAGAAUAAGAAUUGAACUGGGAAAAGUAAAAUUUGUUCAUGAAAACUAAUGCAUGUUUUAUUCUUGAUUCAGUUUCCACUUGUUCAAAAGUUGAUACAAGCUAUUAAAAAAGAAACGCAUGGCUAGGCAUUUAGGAGAAUGGUACAAUUUAGAAAUUCACACUAUGCUAGCGAAUAAGGCUAGGAUGGAGAUCAAUAAGAAGUAGAGCACAAAUUUUCCAACUUCAUCUAAGAAGGAAAAUAUAUGGAAAAAAGAAGAAACAAACUUCGCCUAUCUUUAGUGCUCCUAUUGAUUUUGAACUAGAAUUUAAGUCAAUGAAUAUUCCCGAUUAAGACUUCCAUACUUUUGACAAGUAUAAAAUGUGGCCAAUGGGAAGAAAUUAUACACUUGUCAAAAUUAUGAAUGUCCAAAUCAGGAACUGUCAUUGACUUAGCUUCUGGUUCAAAUCAAUAGCAGCACUAUAUACAAACGAAGUUAGUUUCUUGUUUUUCACUUUCUUUAAGCUUCUUGUUGAUCUCCAUCCUAGCCUUAUUAGUUAGCAUAUUGCAAAUUUCUAAAUUGGACAACUAUCUUGAACACCUAGCCAUUCAUACCUUUUUCAUUAGAACAAAACAUGCAUUAGUUCUAAUGAACAAAUUUCUUUUCUUCAGAAAACCCUCCUAGUUCAGUGCACUCAUAGCUUCUUCUGGUGUAAGAAGUUUCACAUCCUGAAGCAGAAGAUCCAUGCUUAUUGUCAAACAUCAUUCUUUUGGUUCUAUCAGACAACAACCUCCAUGCUUCAAAUAUAAUCUUAAGUGCCCCUUGCCCCUUACAUGUAGAUUUUUAUCACAAUGAAGAGUUUGAGCAAGUCUUCUAUAAUGUUUUUUUUAUUGUCUCAUCAUCAGCCGAGGACUCUACAGAACGGAUACCGUGAAAAUCCAUUUCACCAGUAGUCUACUUCUUCUGAUGAGAAAAAUUAACAUUGAUAAUCUCGAUGAAUUGAGAAAUACCAUCAACGUCUGGAAACAAAUUAUGAGACUUCAAAACAAAUUUUUGAGCCCCAGCAAUAUCCUUCUCGAUUAAUUUUUUCUCAUCAAUUUCUCUAGCCGUAACAUCUUCAUCUUUAUUACAUUUCAUUUAAUACAACUUUGACAGGUAGAAAAUAAGCCUAUCCCUCUCAAACUCAACCAACAAACGGAGAAACACUCAAUGAUCUAGUUAUUGCAUGAAGUUUAUUCACAUAAAUACUGUGGAGAAGAACUAUCUUUGACUCUUCAAACCCUAUAAUACAAUCAUUACAAAAAUGCACGUCACAAAACCUACAAACUUGAAAGGCGAAAAUAAGACAUUCAAAGAAAAAAAGGGUACUACUACAUAGAAAUACAAAGUAACAAUGGCCUAAAACCAAAAGGCAAGUCAGAUUAAGUGUGAAACUAUAAGUUUUGAUUAUAUUUGUUUUAUGGAUUUCAUGAAUUAAUGCGCUAUUUGGUUUCCACAAACACUAGAAAAGCACAGAUACGAACCCAUGAACGAUUCUAAACUUUACGGAAACUAAACCUAACUAGUAAAAAGAUAAGGGUAUUGAUAUAACAAUGAAGAACUUACAAUCGUGUCUAACAUUAUACCGUUUAAUCUAAUGAAUUAACUGUAUUAGACUUUUCUAAAUCUAAUUGUGGUAUUGUUCCAUCCAAAUGAAAUAAUUGCAUAUCACCUUCUAAAUUUAACCAUGUUUAUUGAAAAUCUCCAUAAUUUAGCCAAAUGUAAAGGACUUCGAACAAAUGGAAUUAAGAACCGACAAAAAGGGGACGUCUUGCCUAUGAAUUUCAUAAGUUUCUUAUUCAAAAACUCAUGAACAAAUUUCCUCUUUAAUGGAAAAAAAUUGAACUUCAUGCCAAACUGUGUAAUGUUUAGGAAGCCGAAAACAAAACCAAAUUGAUGAGAUGUUGAAAUUAACAUUCUCGGUACAACAAAACUUAGUAACAGCAAGAUAAGCACACUCGUUCUAGACACAAAAUAAAUAUAUAUUCCUUUUUGAAAUAGGAAUCAUGAGAAACAAAUAAAUUGGAUUAUCGGCCUUUGGAAAACCUAAAUUGUAAUGGCGCGAAGAGAAAUUCUCAACAUAAUUCAAGUUUCUUUAAGUAGAUAAAUAGUGACUGAAUUUGUUAUGAAACCACAAAUUCAUCCUGUUAUUAUCCUCGAGGUUAUUUUCUUGAUUUAGUGUUUAUUUCCAUUUUCCCCUUCCCAUAUCUUGAUGUUGUGUUUUUAGUUGUUAGAAUGACAUGCUUCUUGAGGUGGUCAGGAGAUCUUUGAGUGAGUUUUCCUCAUUUUGGAGUUUUUAUAUGGAAAUGGUUGACUUCGGGUAAACAAGCUCAAAUGAUAUUUCUGUCAGCACAGUUAUUUCAGAAAUCUCGAGUUUGUUCUAGGUUGAGAUUGGGUUGCUUGUUUGAUUAGUUGUUUUUUAUUGUUUUAUUGUAGUAUGGACUUUGGUCAACAUUUCAUUGAGACGGCCUCCAUUGGUCAUUUCUUCGAUUUCGUUGAGUCUGGAAUGUCGUUUCUAAUUGGAUAGCAUAUCUAUAGUUUGUAUUUGUUGAACCCCGGUCGAAUCUUGAGGCUGAGGGUCCAUUCGGGACAUGGAAAGUUUAGUUCUAAUUGCUGGUGCGACAUCCACUGAUGCAACUUCUCUUAUGAGUCUUGGCUCGCUUUGGUGAUACCGCUCAUGUGAAGAAUGAGACGUGUCAGCGAAGGCUGCUAACUAAGCCUUUGGCCACUCCUACGGGGCUUGUCUUCUCCAGCAAGCACACACCCACAAACCUUUUGCCAUUCUGGUAAGCCCAACUCUUGUGAGAUUUGGCUUGCUCCCACAGAGUUGGAGGUUAGUGUUGACCUCCACUCCAACAGCUCCUUCUCUACUUCAGUGAUGCCACUCUAGCUACCAUUCGUCCACUAGGGUGACAAUCAUUGAGUUACAUAUCUCUCUCUUGUCUCAUUUCUCUAUGGUCAGAUUUUUAUUGAUGAGAGCUCGAUCUUAUGUGUUAGAGAUCAUUUCUCAACCAUUUCACUUGAUUCUAAGGUAAAUAUCUUUUUCUUUACUUUCUAUUGCUUAUUCUAGCUCCAUUUUUGUGUUUAAUUCUUGAUUUGGAACUUGAUUAAUUGAUUUUCAAAUUCUUUGAAGUGUAGUUUGGACCAUUCAAAGUCUAAUUACACUACCGUAUUUACCCAACUUUGGGACAUGUGAUCCUCACCUCAACGGAAACAUAAUAACAAAGUUAGUUUUUCGUUUCAUUGUCGAGCUCUGAUGGUCAAUUUUCAACCUUAUUCCCGAUCUGAAUUUUGCAACAUUGAUAUGGCCAUUAUUAGUCUUGUAUUAAAAUUAAAUUUCUAUUUUUGAUAGUGUGGCAACAUUUUACGACUUUUCAAAAGGGAAAUGCUCACAAGUAGUCGUUCCAGUACGAUUUUGACUUUGAGGUAGGUUACGAUUUCCUUCUUUAGACUUAGCUUAGUUAGUUUCUAUGUAAAUUGGGUUGCAUGAUCGUUAAGAAGAUUGUAGGGAAAAAUUUUGUUCUUAUAUGAUCCGUAGUCACAUUUUGACCAUUUUUGGAUUUAGACUAGUUUAUUAGCCUUAAAGCCUUUGUUUUAGGUUGGGUUUAAUCUUGCUUUGGUUAAUAUAAAAUCCUUAGAAGUACUUUUAGGUGGUUUGAAACUUAAUGUUGAUAUGUUGUCUGCUUGUAGUACAAUAGUGUGUUUAUCCCGAUACUUAGCUUUUAUUAUGUUAUUGUGAUUGUGGGUCCGAGGCCUUGGACUUGGACUGGCUGGAGUUCCGGUUAGUACAAUUGUAAUGUGAUGGCGUUUAACUAAUUAGUUUGUGUUAUAUGAAUGUGUUUUGACUUGUUUGACUAUGAUUGACACGCAUCCAUGUGCAUGAUAGUUGCAUUUGACCUUAAUAUGAGAUAGAGGUGAUAAACUUGUAGAGUUUUGGUUUUAAAAUUUGUAUGCCUCAGAUUUACUUGAAUUGAACUCUGGGGGAGCAUAUUGUUGGUUCAAUAUUGUGGGAAGUUAGAUAUUUAUGAGACACUGUGCCGUUUCUUGGAGUUCUUCUUUAAAGAGAUUUUUACCUUAAAAAUAUUAUAUUACUUUUACCUUUGUAUUUGAUUUUUAUGAAAAGAUUGUACUAUAUUCAAUUGGAUUUUAGCUUUAAAGGCAUUCCUACUGAAAUUUUACUGAGUUUUCAUUGCAGUAGAAUAUUAUGAAAGAAUUUAUUAUUGCCAUGGAAAUUUUGACAUUUAAAGAGAUUUUCUCUUUGAGUUACUGCGCCUUUAUGGUUUUUAAUAGAUGUACGGUUUUUAUGUACUAUUUGUGGGUCACUCCUAAAACCCUUUGUCUAAUUAAUUUAUUUUAUUUUAUUUGUAUUUGAGUUGCAGUGGGUCUACAAAAUGCCUCGAGGUGCCUAUAGUAUCCAUUGAGGUUAUAUUAGAGCUUUUAUAUUUAUUGCGUAUGAGGGUAUAUUGCUUCGGCGCCCUGCAAAUUGAAUUUCAAAUUUUAUGAUUAUUACUUCGAUAGUUAAGUGGUACCGGGUCUAUGAAAUGUCCCAAGGAGCCCAUGGGGAGGCAAACAAGAUAAUUUCAGAGCUUUUUUACUUUUAUGCAUUGGCCACAUGUGCAUUACAUCAUCUUGCAUGGUAUGUUUGGGAGGUCUAUGAUAGACUUAUAUUAGCAUGAAUUAUUUAUCAUUAUUAUUAUUCUCUUCACUAUCAGUGUUUAUGAGAAUAUCUAUAGUUUACUCUCGUUUUUAGUGUUAUCACUAUCGUGCCUCUCUUAUUUAUAGUAUCUUUUUUAGCUCGAAUGACCUAUGAAGCCUAUUAAAUACCCGUGUUUUGAUACUCAUACUGCACUUCUAUUCUUUUUAUCAUCCAGCACCCAAUACGAGCCACCCUUGUUGAUUCUAGAUUUCUCGAGGUUGUUGAUAUUGGAUCAUGUUGAGCUAUUGACAUAUGGAGACUUGCUUCUAUCUCUCUUGCACUGUCUACAUAUCUUGUAUUUUGAUUAGACAGGACUAUUGCAUAUAAUCCAUUUUUGUACUUAGAUGCUCUUGUACCGGUGACACCAGGUUCGGAGUUGGUUCUCUAUAUAUCCAUCUUCUCUAUUUGUUUUUGGGCCUUUAUUUGUAUAUUUUAUAUUAUGUACACAUCUAUGCUAAGGCGUUAUUCUAUGUCUUAUUAUUCCUUCCUCGUUAGUUACUUCUAGUUUUAUUUAUCGCGCCUUAUUUGAGCUUUGGCUUGCCUACUGGGAGUUUAUGGUAGGCGCCAUCAUAAUCCAAUUUUGGAUUGUGACACAUCUAUUCAUGCUUAUUCUAUGCUUGAAGUAUCAUUUGUACAAAUAAAGUUAAUUUACACACAGAUUUCUCAUGUUAUCCAUUUUUCAGACCAAUAAAAUCCUCAAGUCAAAUAGUUAGGAUUGGCUAUAUGAAUUCUCUGCAUUAAAUAUUUUCACCGAAACUAAUGUAAAAUUCGACAACUCAAAGAGACAUCCUAUAUAUUCAUUCUUAAACCAUUCUAGACUGAUAAGUAAUAAAUACUAAUUUAUGAUUAUGAAAAUCUAAUUUCUUUGACAAACGUUAAAGAAUUUCAUAUCAAAUACUUCAAAAAUGACAUUCUUUUCUUCUUUGUAAAAUAUUCACCACAAAAUUUCAAAAUCAAAAGCACACUAAUCAAAUAAACAUUGAAUAUGUAUUAAAUAGAGGUGUCUAUAACGAUUGUAAAGCCUUGAAUCAAUGAGACACCGAUUGGAAUUUCUUUGAUACUUCUUGAAAGGAAUACGAGAAGAAUAAUUUUGAGAUUUAUUUGAAAUGUUGGAAGGAACAAAGCAUCAGAAAACACAAUUUUAUAAUAAGUGUAAGGGACAUUGAACUAUAUAUAGAGAUCAAUAUCCUUCACAAUUUGGCCGUUGUAUUCCUAAUUUCUUUAGGAAUAGAAUUUAAGUUUAAGGGAUUACAUGAUAUAUGAUCAUUAUUUCAUAUCCUUAUUUAAUUAGUUUGAAGGGAAAAAGAAAAUGAUGAAAACAAAAAAAACCUAGUUGAACAAGGAUAGAGAAUAUAAUUAAUUUCCCACUAAAUUUUCUGUAAAUAAAAGAUAUUUAUAAAUUUAAAUUAUUAGGGACAAGACAAACAACUAUACUUUGUUCAACACUAGAUGGACAAAUAUCGAUCUUGCAAAAAAAUCAAUUUUGUCAUCAAUAGGAUCAACUAAUGUUGAUACUUAUGCUUAACAAACAUAUUAUUCCUAAAUUAAAGCGAAGAAUCAACACUAGAUGGACAGAAAUCGAUCUUGCAAGAAAAUCAAUUUUGUCAUCAAUGGAUCAACUAGUGUUGGUACUAAUGCUUAACAAACACAUUAUUCCUAAAUUAAUGCUAAGUGUCAACACUAGAUGGACACAAAUCGAUCGUGUAAGAAAAUCAAUUUUGUCAUUAAUAGGAUCAACUAGUGUUGGUACUUAUGCUAAACAAACAUAUUAUCACCUAAUUUAAAGCUAAGUGUCAACACUCGAUGGACACAAACAAAUUAUCAACAAAAUUAAAGCUAAGUGUCAAUACUAGAUGGACACAAACACAUUAUAAAAACCAAUUGUUCUUGACCUUUAGAACUUUAAAAACACCAAACCUUAUCUCCUACUUUGAUGAAAGUAGCAGUAUAGUCUUAUAACAACUUCUUUAGAUGUCGAGCUUCCUCUAUUGCCUAGCACAAAAAUAAACAAUUUAAAAUUUCUUCAACGGUCAUUAUAGAGAGAUUUCAGUCAUUAUAACAUUCAAGAAUGGCUCAAACAAUUUUAGGAUCAGUAAGUACCUAAAAUUGAUCAUACAUAAUGCUAAAUUUAAUUUUUUUUGCAAAUUCUCCAUUGUUUUGGAAAAGAAAAUAUAGUAUUUUUCUAUUUUUAAAUCUUUGUGUAGUUUCACUUGAGCCUCAAAAGAAAUGGUUUCUUCACUAACUUUAAAUUUCCUCUUCCAUUUGUUAAACUAUAACCAGUUUGUUGGGUUCAAAAGUGAUUAGGCGUCAUGCAGAUGCUUAUAAUUGCAAAUCAAGACGACGAUAAAUUAGAUGAUAAAAACUUAUACUAAAAAUAUAUUAUUAUAUAGUUUGUUCAAGUAACAUACAUAUUGAAAACUAAUAUUAAAAGACAUAAAUUCUAUUAGGAGAAUAAUCUCCCCAUAAACGAAACUCUAUAUCGACUUCAUUGUGGAUACUCUUGUGUUCUUGGUAUGAGAAGAGAGGUCUUCAAUUUAUAGAGUUCCAAACUCUUCCUCUAAGUAAAGAAUAAACCAAAUAUGGAAGAAAAUAACAUUUUCCUUUCGAGAAAAGUUAAAGUACUUAUGGUAAUACUUUGUCUUUCCUUUUAGGAAAAGAUAAACUUCAAAUAAGGUAAGAAAAUCAGGGUGAAACCCUAACACGUGAGAGAGAAUUCACAGGAGAAUGGAGACUUAUGAUUUUUGGAAAUUAAAAAAUACCUGAUGUGGCCUGCAUUGUUGCCGACGUCUGUUGCUGCGAGCUGUUGCUGCUGCCGACGUCUGCUGCUACGAGUUGCUGUUGAGCCGUGCGCCGAUCGACGUGAUAGAGGCGGCGCCAAUCGAUGUCGGGAGGGGUGGCGUGGCGGUGCUUAGGCUGAGAGAAGUGGUUUGUUGUGGCUGCCUAGGAGUGAGAGAGAAUUCACAGGAGAAUGGAGACUUAUGAUUUUUGGAAAUUAAAAAAUACCUGAUGUGGCCUGCAUUGUUGCCGACGUCUGUUGCUGCGAGCUGUUGCUGCUGCCGACGUCUGCUGCUACGAGUUGCUGUUGAGCCGUGCGCCGAUCGACGUGAUAGAGGCGGCGCCAAUCGAUGUCGGGAGGGGUGGCGUGGCGGUGCUUAGGCUGAGAGAAGUGGUUUGUUGUGGCUGCCUAGGAGUGAGAGAGAAUUCACAGGAGAAUGGAGACUUAUGAUUUUUGGAAAUUAAAAAAUAACUGAUGCGACCUGCGUUGCUGCCGACGUUCGUUAUUGCGAGUUGUUGUUGCUGCCGACAUUUGUUGCUGUGAGUUGUUGCUGCUGAGUCGUGCGCCAAUCGACGUGAUAGAGGCGGCGCUGGUCGCUGUGGGGAGGUGUGGCAUGGCAGUGCUUAGGCUGAGAGAGGUGGUUUGUUGCGGCUGCUUAAGAGUGAAAGAG
rnacentral:lncRNA from 1 species